rnacentral:rRNA from 1 species
AUGGCCGUCCUGCGCAUUACAAAGAAAUUCUUCAAAGACGUGGACAAGGCUAGACGACGCUUCCUAUGGGCACAAGAUGUGGAGAUCACCGACGGGAAGUGCAAAGUUAACUGGCGGACAGUCACGCCGCCGGUGGACCGCGGCGGCCUCGGGAUCCCGGACAUGGAGCGCUUCGUGCGCGCUCUUUGGCUCUGCUGGCUCUGGCUGGCAUGGACCGACCCAACGCAACCGUGGGUGGGCACAGGAACGCCCUGCGACGACAAAGACCAGGCGCUCUUCGCCUCGGCCACAAAGGUGGAGGUGCGCGACGGAAACCGGGUCCUCUUCUGGCACUGCCCCUGGCUGGGUGAGUUGUCACUCUGUUGGGCCUUCCCGCUGCUGUUCAGCCGCUCCGUCAGUAAAAACUGCACGGUGGUGGAGGCCCUGCAUGGAGACAGAUGGGUGCUUGAUCUAAGGCACGACAAUGCUAUAAAAAUCAUUCCCCAGGUCGUCUUGCUGCGGCACCGGAUCACUGAAGCCAAUCUGACACUCCAAGAAGGGGUGGCGGACGUGAUCAAAUGGAAGACAGGAGGCCAAUACAUAGCGAAAGCAGCCUACAGCAUCCAAUUCCCAGACGAGCCGAGGGAGGAACUGCGUCAACUCAUAUGGAGGAUCUGGGCACCGGGGAAGAUCAAGUUUUUCCUCUGGCUACUCCACCUUGAUCGCCUCUGGUGCAACGAUCGCUUGCAGCGUAGAGGGUGGGAGAAUGGAUAUUUCUGUCAGCUUUGCAACAGAAAUUUGGAAUCCUCCUUCCACCCCCUCUGGGAGUGCCCAACUUCACGCCAAGUCUAG